CUGUCGGUGGGGAGGAAGACUUCUGAGCAGCCUUCUUCAUCAGAACAGGGCUGUGAAUCUGCAAAGCCUGAGACCCGGGUUAGAAAAGAAACUCUUAGCCUGGGCCUGCUUCAUGGGGUAGGAUCUGUGUGGUUGAGCCCUCCCCACCCCUGUGCCUAGAAGAGCCCUGGGCUUCCUUGAACGGUCUCUCUGCCCCUUGAAGCCAGGUUGUACAUUUUGGUGGGGCAAGGACUGUCUUUAAAUCCUUUGAAUUUCCCAUGGAACUCAGCCCAAGGAUGUAUCAGUAAAGUGCUGAGGAGGAAAAGAGGCUCUAUUCUUCAUCUAGAAGAGCAAUGGAAGGAAAAUAGGCUGGAGUUUGUGAAGUGCCUACACUA